AUUGAACGCUGGCGGCAUGCCUUACACAUGCCAGUCGAACGGUAACGAGCCUUCGGGUGCCGACGAGUGGCGAACGGGUGAGUAAUACAUCGGAACGUGCCCGAUCGUGGGGGAUAACGAGGCGAAAGCUUUGCUAAUACCGCAUACGAUCUACGGAUGAAAGCAGGGGACCGCAAGGCCUUGCGCGGACGGAGCGGCCGAUGGCAGAUUAGGUAGUUGGUGGGAUAAAAGCUUACCAAGCCGACGAUCUGUAGCUGGUCUGAGAGGAUGAUCAGCCACACUGGGACUGAGACACGGCCCAGACUCCUACGGGAGGCAGCAGUGGGGAAUUUUGGACAAUGGGCGCAAGCCUGAUCCAGCCAUGCCGCGUGCAGGAUGAAGGCCUUCGGGUUGUAAACUGCUUUUGUACGGAACGAAAAGCCUUCUUUUAAUACAGGAGGGUCAUGACGGUACCGUAAGAAUAAGCACCGGCUAACUACGUG
rnacentral:rRNA from 1 species